ensembl:lincRNA Platr4 pluripotency associated transcript 4
GAGAUCGCCAUGAUGGGGAAGAAGGAAGAGGAGACCUAAAGGCCAGCUGACAUCAGGACUUUGGGUCCCUAACCUGCAACUCAGCACUCAGUCCAUCAUGGGCUUUGCUAGUCUCUGUGACUUCUCCAGGGCAGGAAAGUGACAGGUUUCUGCGCAAGGGAGCCCGAGGUACCUGGUUCAGGAUGGAGAGGGCACUUGAGAGGCCUCAAAAGCAAGCACAGUUAGAGGACAUCAGCGAUGUUAAAACCCCACGAGGGUCAACAGUAGCCCAGGCAAAAUAAAGGAGCCUGAAGUGGAAAAACAGAAAUGGAACAAAGCGUUUGUUCUGGAGCACGUGAGAUUGUCCUUCUAAGACAUUUCCAGAAGUAUUCAAAGGAAGAUUUAAUGGGAAAUCAUUAUGCAAAAGAGUCAGUAAUAUAUUUUAGUUUCAAAAAGUACGGAGCGUGACGCCUGUCAAUUAUACCUUCUGCAAAGGUGAGUGGCGGUUGUCCUUGCUGUUCCAAAAUGCAAAGAGAAACAAACAAACAAACAAACAAGCAAACCAGCUACUCCUAUUCCGCACUCCAAACACCAAGCAGAAAUGCUUCUGGGACAAACUGAGCUUCAUUCUUUAUGAAAAUGAAAACACUUCUUUCUGUGCACUAGGAAAAUGUUCUGCCUCUGAGCUGCAAAACCAGCACCAAACUUGAAAAGUUUGUGCAUCAAAGGAAAAAGGCAACCUACAGGAUGGGGGAGAAUAUUUGCAGGACACAUGUCCUGGAAGGAAUACAUAUUUAGACUGAAUAAAAUGAGUAAGAGGAGGGAUAGGGAGUUCGUGUUCAAUGUUGAGAGCUUGGGACAGUUGAGAAAACGCUCCGGAGUGUUCUGCAGAUGAAUGAUGGUGACGACUGCAUCAGUGUGAAUGUCCUUAACGCCGUCAAAAAUUGGUUAUAAUGGCAAAUUUUAUGCUACAUAUGUUUUACUACAAUAAAAAUGCCAGGAAAAUC